AGUGUAUGCUUUUGUGACCGAGGGGGAGAGAAAGACAGACGAGGGGAGAGUUCUGUUCUUUCACUGCUCCAUCCGGGAAUUUUCGAAUUAGCAUUGACAGCCGAAGCGCAACUUUUCCCCAGGCAAAGUGAAAUCAAGCCGCUCACUCGGACAAAAUAUAGUCCCCACUAUUCAACUAAAAAUGAUCAAAAGAAAAAUAAAUCGACCGUUUGGAGAGGAUGCGUCGACGCGGCGUUAUUUUUAGAGUGGAUCUGUCCAGGUGCUGAAACCUUUCCCCCGUGUUUAGAGCACUUUGCUCAGCGGCGUAAAGUGAGUGAUGAGCCCUCUACACAGCAAAGAAGCAAGAACUUGCUUUGCAGCCUGAGUAGUUCUUCUUUCGAUUGUUAUUGUCGCUUUAAAAAAAACAUUUUAAUUCACUUAAACUUCACAUUGAUUACAUCGAAAGUGGUACAAAAGUGUUUUUGAAGUCGGAACAUGGAACUACAAUGCCUGCAAGAGGCGUUGAAAGUCGAGAUCCAAUGUCAUCAGAAACUAGUUGCACAGAUGAAGCAAGACCCGCAGGAUGGAGAGCUUAAGAAACAACUACACGAAAGACACGACAGAAUAACAGCCCUAAGCGAAAAACAAGUAAGAAAACCACCAAAGCUUUAUUAUACACUACUGUUGGCUAUAAUCAUCAUUCAUGUCACGGCAAUAGUCUUGUAUUGUGUGAGACCGUUAUGUUCAGGACAAUGUGCUUGUUUUUUUUUUUAAAAGGUUUCAAAAGUAAAGGCAUUGAUUUAGUCUUUUGCUCCUCCUUUUAAAGUCGUUGUGUUGUAGAAUUCCUCAACAUAAUCUGCUGAUUCUGUCCGGAUACUCUUUAAGUUGUGUAACAUGAAAUGUUGAAAAAUGUAGCGUCCAUUUUGAGUAAGUCGACAUGUUUCAGGAGAGUAAGAAAGGGAGAUGCUCAAGUAUCCGGUCUGGACUUUUUUAUUUUUUGUACACAUCAAGCAUCACGUUUUUACUAUUCUGACUAUUCGUAGAUAUUCAUCGCCGAAUGAAUACGUAUUUUUUUGUUGCUUCUAAAUUGACUUUAUUUGUUACUUUGUAGCCAUUAUUUAUUCUUGGUCACAUGACGGUAAAGGUUGCU